GACGAACGCUGGCGGCGUGCCUAAUACAUGCAAGUAGAACGCAGUUGCGAACGGGUGAGUAACGCGUAGGUAACUGCCUCAUAGCGGGGGAUAACUAUUGGAAACGAUAGCUAAUACCGCAUACUGUGAGAUGGACCUGCGUUGUAUUGGCUAGUUGGUGAGGUAAAGGCUCACCAAGGCGACGAUACAUAGCCGACCUGGGAGGGUGAGAGGCCAAACGGGGGCUGAGACAGCGUCCAGGAUCCUCCGGGGGGCAGCAGUAGGGAGACUUCGGCAAUGGACGGAAGUCUGACCCGGCAACGCCGCGUGAGGGAAGAAGGUUUUCGGAUCGUAAAGCUCUGUUGUUAGAGGAGCGGAAACUAACCAGAAAGGGACGGCUAACUACGUGCCAGCAGCCGCGGUAAUUC
rnacentral:rRNA from 1 species